UGUGGAUGUGUGCAUGUUGUGUGUCCAUA
rnacentral:piRNA from 1 species